rnacentral:rRNA from 1 species
UACGUAGGGUGCAAGCGUUGUCCGGAAUUAUUGGGCGUAAAGAGCUCGUAGGUGGCCUGUCGCGUCGGCUGUGAAAACUCGGGCUCAACUCCGAGCUUGCAGUCGAUACGGGCAGGCUAGAGUUCGGCAGGGGAGGACUGGAAUUCCUGGUGUAGCGGUGAAAUGCGCAGAUAUCAGGAGGAACACCGGUGGCGAAGGCGGGUCUCUGGGCCGAUACUGACACUGGAGGAGCGAAAAGCGUGGGGGAG